AACUGAUUCUGGUUUUACUUUACUAUUUUGUUUUCAGGGAAUUACGAUCCCAGGUUUUGGAUGCAGAUCUAUCCUUAAUUCUACCUAAACUGUGAGACUAAUUCUUACUCAGAUUUUCCUGAUAUUUUCCACUGUCUGAGAUUUGUACACAGAAAAGAGCAACAAGUUUAACAAUCACCAGGAGGAUCAUAAUUUGAGAUUACAUUGAAGUAUGAUUAGAAGGGAUGCUGGAAUUGUGCCCAACUCUCCUCCCAGGAUUUUUAAGAGAGAUUAUUGACUGCACCACUGGUUUCUCCUCCUAACUGGAAUAGCAUUAUACCACUUUUGAGCUGUUACUGGGAUGCCAUUCACCUCAAAGGGAGGCAGCAAUCAAAAGUUAUGAUGUCAUCUUUCCAGGUAAAUAAAUUGAAUGUUCUUUUUUAGUAUCAAUUCUCCUGCUGUGUGUCUGACAGUAAGGUGAGGAACAC
rnacentral:lncRNA from 1 species